AUUUACUCCUCUUCAAUCGAUUGAAAAAUUGCUUUUCUAUCAAUCGACGUGCCGGAGCGUCGGAUCUGUGAUGGAUGGAGCGAAACAAACCCCGUCUAAAUUAUCUAUCGGAUAUGCUUUUUUGUACUUUAUGUCACCGUUACUCGCUAUCGGGUCUGCUGUUUAGUCCAGCCGCCCGUUUAGCUCUCUGGGUCAGCCGCUUUGGUCUUCCGCGAAGAUGCUGCAAAGCAGAGCAAUGUCUAACCCCAGGUCUGCACCAUUUCUCCGGCAAAUUUUUUUUUGGCCAUUGUGUCCCACCGCCGGCUAGUCUCCUCCCUCCUUGGAUCCACCUCUUCCUGCCUCCGAGCAGUCUCUCUCUCUCUCUCUCUCUCUCUCUCUCUCUCUCUCUCUCUCUCUCAAGUAUUGGGCGCCGCCGUGGUCCGCGAUUCGACGUGAGGUCCUUCCUAUCCUCUUUGUGCUCCAGGUCUCGAACUGGCGCAUCACCUUUGGCAAGAAAAUGAUGCACACAAUCGAAUCGACAGGAUAAAGGAGCUCAUUCGCGGCCAGCACGUCCUCGACACCGGCUCCCCCGUCACUCUGAGGCCAGCUGCAGAUGUUUGCUACAAAUGGGUUCAUAGUAGUGGUAAUCAUGAUGGCUUUGGAUGUCGGGGGCUGGGGGUGAGGAUCAGAUGUACCGGAACUGUUGCUAUGCAUCAGAUGUAUGUAGAAACAAUGGUGUCCACUUCCAUACUCGCCACUUCUCUUGUCAUGCAUGUUUGCUAGCGACAAAGAGAAAGUUAAGCAUCUUUGCAAUUUUAGUAGUUACUUAUUUCCACCAGGGUGGAAGCAUGAAUCUCUCGAUUAUUCCGGUGCGCCAUAUCCUGCAUCCUUUUUGGCUUCCUGUAUUUUUUGUGCUCCAUGCCUCCAUUAUUCAGGGCUUUUUUUAAUCUUUGUGAAGUGCUUUUCACUCUUUCCUUGAUUGGGAAGGGAGUACCAAGUGUCAGAUGCUCCCAACCCCUUGGAAAAAUGUAUAGGCAUAUACGAAUAUUACACUGUUUAGAAUUCAAAAAUUUUUAGUAUGGUAGAACUUAGUUUUAUUCUAGGAUAGCAAAUAUGUGCUUACCAAGUUUAAAUGCAAAAUCACAAACAAUUAGUACUGAAAUUAUGCCAUAUUAUAGCUGUAUAUUUUUUACAGAAUAUAUUUUGUUAAAAAAUGCAUUUCUGCUUGCUUUUAGUCUAAUAGACAAUUAAAACUUGCAUUCUUCAUGUAUUUGUUUUGUGACACAAGGACUUUGACAUAUUUUGCAUGAUUUCAAAUUACUCUUAUGAAGCGUUGUUAUAUUACUAAGUAAUCAUACAAAGAGAGUCACAACAGUCCAGUAAAUGUGCAUUUUUUGUUAUUGACCCCAUAAUACCUUGCAAAAAAUAGCGGUCAGUAGUUACGAGCUUAGUUACUCUCAUAGAAAAGUAAUUUAAUAUUCUAGAAGUUUGUGUAACUUUUUGGAACAAGAUUAGUGCAAAUUAUACUUUCUUGUGUCUUACUCUUUUAUAUUAUUGAGUAAACACAUGCUUCUUUUUUUUUUUACUUUUCUGUGUUGCUCUUAUGGGUCUGCACUCUGCACUCAGUGCCUAGUCAUUAGUAUGUACUUCAUGCUUUGACCAUGAUUGUUGUUAGUGUUUUUGCUGACCAUAGUUGUGGAGCUUCCCUGCCAACAUUUAAUUUGGGGGCAAAUUACUUAAAUUUCAAGCUCAGUUAUCCAUUACACGGAAGGUCCCUGAUGGCCCUAACUAUGCUCCAACCCUAGCUGACAUGAUCAAUCACUUGGAGAUGCUGAAGAAUUUUUUUCAUCGGCUGAGCUGAUUAUCUUAUUUUUUAUAUGAAAAAAAUAACCUAUCUACUUGAAAGCUACCUUUAUAUUUGUUGCUUUGAGUUGUUGUACUGUGUUUUAUUCUCAUGUAUCAUAUUUGUUGUCACUCAACAUUAUCAUUUCUCAUGUAUUUUGUUUAUCUCUGACUUCAUAGAUUUAAACUUUAAAGAGUAAAGUAUCUUUAUGCAACUACGGUAAAUAGUUAACUAAAGUCAAGGCUGAUAAGAUAAAUAGGCUCAUUCGGCUAGCAGAAUUUUAUUUGUAACUUUGUUGUCAGCCAAAAAAAAUAUAGAAACUUUUUUAUUUGUUUGUUAUUUUGGGGAAUUUUUGUUUAUACUUCAGCUGAUAGAAAAGGAAAGCUACAAACAAUUACUUAUCCCUGCUUACUUGUUGCAGAAUGGAUGAACUUGUUGGAACAGUCAGAUGAAUAGAAGAAAUUACUUUUCAUGGUAGUAGUUGUUGGAUAAGGUGUCUCUGUCGGGGCUUGUAUUUGUCGUUACCAUUUGCCUUUCAUAGAGAUUCAUCAUUUCUUCAUAUUGUCUGUCCUUUCAUCGGGCACAUCUGCACAUGGAAGAUUCUUUCCCCUGGAGAACGAUCCUAUUUGCUCAUGACCCCUUUAUUUCAUAAGGUUUUGGUAUUGUUUGUCAAUAGAAGAUUUUGAAUCAAUUCUCCUUUUUGGUUCUCAUAGAUUCAAAAUUAUUAUUGAAUUAGAUGUGUUUUACAUUUUCAUUGUAUAUGUAUUCCAUGCAAUUCUAUUUCUCAUUUGUGAACCUCUCUUUGUAGCCUGCUACUGCCUUCACCUUAUCUGUGGAUGUCUAGUUCUUGGUAGAUGUGGGAGUAGGAGGUUGUGUUUUGCAUAUUGAAAAAUUGCCUGGCAGUAGGGCGGAGAUUUUUGAUUCUGCAAUAGUGCCUUUUGUAAUUCUUACCUCUCUGAAGCAUGAAUGCCUUUGAUAAAUCGACA